AGAACGAACGCUGGCGGCAUGCCUAAUACAUGCAAGUCGAACGAAGGCUUCGGCCUUAGUGGCGCACGGGUGCGUAACGCGUGGGAAUCUGCCCCUUGGUUCGGAAUAACAGUUGGAAACGACUGCUAAUACCGGAUGAUGACGAAAGUCCAAAGAUUUAUCGCCAAGGGAUGAGCCCGCGUAGGAUUAGCUAGUUGGUGAGGUAAAGGCUCACCAAGGCACGAUCCUUAGCUGGUCUGAGAGGAUGAUCAGCCACACUGGGACUGAGACACGGUCCAGACUCCUACGGGAGCAGCAGUGGGAAUAUGCACAAUGGGCGCAAGCCUGAUGCAGCAACGCCGCGCGAGGGACCGAGGCCUUCGGGUUGUAACCUCGUUUAAGUAGGGAAGAAGGCUUCGGUCGUGACGGU
rnacentral:rRNA from 1 species